AGAUUGAACUGAAGAGUUUGAUCCUGGCUCAGAUUGAACGCUGGCGGCAUGCUUUACACAUGCAAGUCGAACGGCAGCGCGGGCUUCGGCCUGGCGGCGAGUGGCGAACGGGUGAGUAAUAUAUCGGAACGUACCCAAGAGUGGGGGAUAACGUAGCGAAAGUUACGCUAAUACCGCAUACGAUCUAAGGAUGAAAGCAGGGGAUCGCAAGACCUUGUGCUCCUGGAGCGGCCGAUAUCUGAUUAGCUAGUUGGUGAGGUAAAGGCUCACCAAGGCAACGAUCAGUAGCUGGUCUGAGAGGACGACCAGCCACACUGGAACUGAGACACGGUCCAGACUCCUACGGGAGGCAGCAGUGGGGAAUUUUGGACAAUGGGGGCAACCCUGAUCCAGCAAUGCCGCGUGAGUGAAGAAGGCCUUCGGGUUGUAAAGCUCUUUUGUCAGGGAAGAAAAGGCUGUGGCUAAUAUCCACAGCUGCUGACGGUACCUGAAGAAUAAGCACCGGCUAACUACGUGCCAGCAGCCGCGGUAAUACGUAGGGUGCAAGCGUUAAUCGGAAUUACUGGGCGUAAAGCGUGCGCAGGCGGUUUCGUAAGUCUGUCGUGAAAUCCCCGGGCUUAACCUGGGAAUGGCGAUGGAGACUGCGAGGCUAGAGUUUGGCAGAGGGGGGUAGAAUUCCACGUGUAGCAGUGAAAUGCGUAGAGAUGUGGAGGAACACCGAUGGCGAAGGCAGCCCCCUGGGUCAAAACUGACGCUCAUGCACGAAAGCGUGGGGAGCAAACAGGAUUAGAUACCCUGGUAGUCCACGCCCUAAACGAUGUCUACUAGUUGUUGGGUCUUAAUUGACUUAGUAACGCAGCUAACGCGUGAAGUAGACCGCCUGGGGAGUACGGUCGCAAGAUUAAAACUCAAAGGAAUUGACGGGGACCCGCACAAGCGGUGGAUGAUGUGGAUUAAUUCGAUGCAACGCGAAAAACCUUACCUACCCUUGACAUGGAUGGAA
rnacentral:rRNA from 1 species